AGGCGUAGUCGAUGGGAAACAGGUUAAUAUUCCUGUACUCGGUGUUACUGCGAAGGGGGGACGGAGAAGGCUAUAUCAGCCGGGCGACGGUUGUCCCGGUUUAAGCGUGUAGGCGGAGGGUCCAGGUAAAUCCGGUCCCUUAUUAACGCUGAGGCGUGACGACGAGGCACUACGGUGCUGAAGUGAUAAAUGCCCAGCUUCCAGGAAAAGCCUCUAAGC
rnacentral:rRNA from 1 species